rnacentral:misc_RNA from 1 species
GGAAGAGGUACCAGCGGGCGUAGAGAUGGAGGCAAACCAUCAAAAUGACCACAAAGAAGAUGAUGACAAUCGCGCUUAGCAUUAUCCUACCGCUUAAAGCAUAGCCUCUGCUGGAGUAUUCAUUGUUGUUGGGAUUCCGUGGGUCUGAUUCCAUAGAGCUGAGAAAUAGCUGAGUGAGAGAAUGUUUAGUGAGGCGGAAAGAGGAGAGAAGAGGGUUUUAGCAGAGGAGAAAUGAAGAGGGCGUGUCAAGGAUUGAAAUAAAAAGGAGAAAGCAAGGGAGCAUAAAAGGAAGGUUCUUGAGGGUUUCACAACCAC